rnacentral:lncRNA from 1 species
GCUGAAAUGGCGCCUGCGCAGUAAAGGAAGCUGCUGUCGCGGGUCCUGGAUGUUAUUGGUAUCUUUCCCCGACCCCGGGUGCAAAGAACAUUUGGAGACCUAACCUUUGCUUCACGUCCAGAAUCGAAAUGCCAUCUUUAAAGCCCAAGCAUGUUAUGAACCCUAAAAACUGAAAUAGCGGGGAGGGAAAAAUGUGCAACGUUGAGCAGUGAGGAAGACAGGAAGGCCCUGCAUGCUUGCACAGCAAACAACUGCGGACAGCACCCGUGCUGUGCACCUUCCGGAAGGGGGAAAGAGCGAGGUCCUGAUGGAAACUCACACAGUAUAUCCAUAUGUAACUAUAUAUCACUUUAUGUUAUGUAUCAGUUAAAUUAAACUAAAAUCUAAAAUA